GGAGGAAAGAGAAGCAGCACGGGUCCGAGUCUGCAGUGUGGAGGCGGCGGUAGCUGCCUUUCCCAGUCUCGCCUGCAGGGCGCAGCAGCAGCUGCCUGCGGGGCCGCAGUGCGGGCUAACGCAGAGGCGCAGGGACCUCUGGGAAGAUGGCGGAGCGGAGAGUGGCGGUGACACAGCUUCUCUGAGAUUUGGAGUCCGGACGCUGGGAUAUAGCCCCGUGAGGAAGAGAAGAAGGAGGGACGUGGGUCCCGGGACCCAGCAGGGAUCUGAAGCGAGAACUGAAGCCCACGGGAAGAGCGGAGAGAGAGACCUGACGCAGAAGGAGGGCGAGCCCGGGCCUGACUCGCUGUGGGAGGGGCUGGGCCCUGCGGACGCCCGGGCUGCUGGCGACGGAGGCUCGGCGGAGAGGCCUGCGGUGCGGAGCGGCGCGCAGCGAGGACGCGGCGGACGGCUGUGGCUGGUGACUUAUUUGGGCUCAAGACCUUGCACUUGCCAGGCAGGCGCAGAGCUGCUGAGCUACGUCCCUGGCCCCAGGAUUAUCUCUUAAUGCAAAGAAAAUCUGAACAUAAGAGGGUAGGCAGAUCAUACAGCUUUGGCAUUGAGUUCGCAGAAGAAAUCCAGAGAGAAUGGUGUCCCUUUAAUUUCUGUUGAUCUCUAUAUCCUCAAAAUGGGGCACCCCGGAGCAGGUGGCAGCCUCUGGAAGUGGAAGGGAUUGAACUCAGGACCUUGUGCUUGCAAGGCAGGUGUGGUGUCACUGAGCUAAAUCCCCAGCCCAGGUAAGAUGACUUCUUUACCUUCAGCAUUAACAAAAUGCUCAUUUCUAUGGGCUCAACUGAAAGGUCCUUAGUGGGAAUAUGUUGGGGUAGUUUUAGAGAUCCUUCUUUCUCGUAAUUUUACAUGCCUCUAUACAGAAACUGUAACAUCACUGCUUCUUGGCCUUUUGGCUAAGAUCAAGGAAACUGUAAAGUGUCAGGGAGAGAUCAGAAAUGAGACCAGGAAAGGCGAUGUUUUUCAUCUCAUGCUUAUGGUAAGUUAUUGAGACAACUUGCUCCUGAGUCAUCACUCUUAGCCUGGAAAAGCAAGAAUGGGAAAUCUCAAGAGCUAAGAUUAUCUCCUCACCAGCAGAAAGAAGAUCAGACCAGAAAGGAAACAGACAGAACAGGGCCAAGAUUUUCUCAAGUAUAGAGGAGGAUUGAACUGGAACUCAGUGAAACCUGUCCCUCAAGUUUUAAGAAUGGCCAUCAGCCUGUUGUCUUAACUAGUGGAUGAGGUCCUGAGAUUUAUUAGUAGGCGUGCAUAUUUCUCAAAUAUAAAGUAGAUUUCAUUAAAAAACCCAUUUUACAGAAUUUUAUAUUAAAGUCCACUGGGGGCACUCUGUUGCUAUUUUCCUAGCAUUGUUGUCUGAGAUAACAAACCACAGCAGUCAAAAGAGUGAAAUGGGUCAAGCAAGGAACAUCAAAAUAAAUUUAGAAACUAAGUCCAAAGUACAGCAUAUACAGAACAGGAAUGUUACAUUCUUUGAUGGGACAUACCUUACCAUGUUCUCAAAUUUACCAUUGUUAUAAAAAAGGACAAUGGGGCUGGGGAUUUAGCUCAGUGGUUUCCCCACCGGCUGCGCAAGUGCAAGGACCCGAGUUCAGUCCCCAGUACCUCCCAAAAAAUAAAGGACAAUGUAUUUAAGGGAUAAAUUCAAGAUAUCAGUGAUUAACAAAGACAGGGAUGAAUUCAGGCCAUAUGCAAUUAACAAACAAGGAUGACAAUUUUGAUCACCUAAGUGAGUCCCAAGCCAGCGUCUGAACAAAAGCAAACUCUUGGCUCUGUCUAGUGAUCUCAGUGGGACCUCCAAAAUGAUAUAGGGGAACAGAUGUAACUCUCAGCAUGCUAAAUGUCAGAUAGGCGAAGUUGAAGAAUGAAUUUUAAAGAACAAUAGCGGUUAAGAGUAGGAAAAUUUAUUGGGGAAUAGGAGUGAGGAAUAAGAAUAGCUCCUGAGAGACAGUAGGGGUCUCACAUGGGUUGCCAACAAGCCAGCUUCUCAAAAGGUAGUUUUAUAGAGCAAAGUUAUAAGGGGUGGGUACAAUGUGGGUAAAAGCUAUAAUCAACUAAUAAGAUCACAAAUAUAGUUGCUUGGGUAAUACUGAACCCUGGUAACAAGGGUGUGUGGAUGACACCAUUAACCUUGGUCAAUAAUUUGUCCUAGUCUUGGUGGGAGAGGAUGGUCCACUCCCAAUGAGAUAAUGAUCUAUAUGGGGAAGCCCAAAAGGGUGGUACCGAUAAUCUCAAGCUUCUGUUCAUCCCUUAGGGAAGUAUGCAGAUCUGGCCAUUGUGACUUUCAUCUUCAGAUGCACCUCCAGCCACAGCUUCAAUGUGUUCUCAUCCUCUGCAUUGACUUCAGGGCCCAGCCCUGUCUGACUGCCUAUAAUAUUUCUACUUAAUUUAGUUCUGUAUAUCACCAGGAGAGGGCGAUAGCUGGUAGCCAUCUUGUGAGGGCCCAGCUGAGCUUGGAACUCAGAGCACCUGAGGGCUGGCUCCAUCAGGGUGAGGUGGAACCAAGUUCAAGUCGUCAGGAGGUCAAGGAGCCAAGUUCAAGCUGGCAGGAAGCACGUGGAGUGCUGCAGGCUUAAUAAAAUGAGUUCCAGCCUCACAGCCAGAAACCUGCCUGAACUGCAGUGGAGCUAAAGGUGCAGGCUUGCUGGGAUUGUUCUCUACCUUGCUGUAACCCUACAGCUGGCUUUCUGGGAUUAAUUGACAUGGAUCUGGGCUCUGUCUGACCACUGUAUCUACCAUUAACUGCAGAGACACAGCUGAAGUGACAUUUUUUUCUUGAUUUUUUUUGUUUUCUUUUUUCUUAAUUGUUUUUUUGGUACUGGGGAUUGAACUGGGGACCUUUCGUUUGUGAGGCAGGUGCCAGAACCCCUGAGCUAAAUCCUCAGCCCCUGUUUUUGUUUUUAUGUGAAUGUGAACAUUAUUUCUGGUUUUCUUGUGUUGUUCUGUUCUUGUUUUUAUUUCUUCCUUCUUUCUUUCCCUGUCUUCACCAGUUUCCCAAAGUUUGCAUAACCUUUCUUUGUAUUCCAGCCUUGUUUCUAAUCUCUUUGUCUUCUAUUUCUCUAUUUUUCCUUCUAAUCUAUUUUAAAUUUUCUCCCCUAGGGUAAAAUUGCCAUAUCAAAGGCAUGUUAUUAUCUGUAUACAAUUUUCUGGUUUGUUUUAGAUUUUGUUAUAUAAGCACAAAUAUAGCCCAUAUGGUUAAAGGUGGCAAAUUAAUAGUUACCAAAGUUUACCUUUAGGCUGUGUUUGAUGCUAUUAUUGUUGAUUGUACUACGUUAGCCAAAGUGACAUAACUGUUCUGAUCAGUUGUUCUUCCUGGAAUGCCAAGACUAAGAUUGCCUAAGGGUCAUAAAUAAUACUAUAGGCCAGUUCCAAGAACCAGGGUCUAGACUAAAUAGGCAGCAACUUCUCAUCCUCAAUAAAGUGAAGAAAUAGGAUCUCGCAACAGACUCAAAACCCAAAAGCCAGCUACACCUGGAAGACAUCUCUGAGAAAUAGUCAUUCCCCAAGGGUUCGCAAUACUAGCAAUAAAGGUGCUUGGCAUAAGCAAUUUACAAGCAUCAAACCAGGAAUUAAACUAAAAAAAUGGGAAGACAUUUAAGGAAGGUGAAACUCCAGAUUUCCAGCUCACAAAAGGCAAGCCCAGAAGGCAGUGAGGUGGAACAAAUUGAAAACCGUCUGCCUGAAGUCUCAGGAAUGGUAACAGUGAUAAAUGAAGCUCUAGAAAAAUUCAAAUCAGAAUUAAUUUCUGAGUUAACUACAGAGUUGGUGACCAUAAUGAAAGACAUGUUUAGUGAAUACAGAGCACAUACAGAUAAACAAUUAGAAGAACUUGGGAAAAUAAUGGAAACCAUGAAAGCCCAACAUAGGGAAAAAAUGGAAUCCAUGAAACAGAUUCAAACAGAUAUCCAGGAGAUUAAAAAUUCAUUGAAAGUAUCUGCAGAACAAGCCAAUGUGAGGACAGGAAAUCAAAUAUAGAAGAUAGGAUUGUGGUUAGUGAUCAUGAAAAG